rnacentral:rRNA from 2 species
UGGUAUUGAUUGGUGCUUGCAUCAUGAUUUACAUUUGAGUGAGUGGCGAACUGGUGAGUAACACGUGGGAAACCUGCCCAGAAGCGGGGGAUAACACCUGGAAACAGAUGCUAAUACCGCAUAACAACUUGGACCGCAUGGUCCGAGCUUGAAAGAUGGCUUCGGCUAUCACUUUUGGAUGGUCCCGCGGCGUAUUAGCUAGAUGGUGGGGUAACGGCUCACCAUGGCAAUGAUACGUAGCCGACCUGAGAGGGUAAUCGGCCACAUUGGGACUGAGACACGGCCCAAACUCCUACGGGAGGCAGCAGUAGGGAAUCUUCCACAAUGGACGAAAGUCUGAUGGAGCAACGCCGCGUGAGUGAAGAAGGGUUUCGGCUCGUAAAACUCUGUUGUUAAAGAAGAACAUAUCUGAGAGUAACUGUUCAGGUAUUGACGGUAUUUAACCAGAAAGCCACGGCUAACUACGUGCCAGCAGCCGCGGUAAUACGUAGGUGGCAAGCGUUGUCCGGAUUUAUUGGGCGUAAAGCGAGCGCAGGCGGUUUUUUAAGUCUGAUGUGAAAGCCUUCGGCUCAACCGAAGAAGUGCAUCGGAAACUGGGAAACUUGAGUGCAGAAGAGGACAGUGGAACUCCAUGUGUAGCGGUGAAAUGCGUAGAUAUAUGGAAGAACACCAGUGGCGAAGGCGGCUGUCUGGUCUGUAACUGACGCUGAGGCUCGAAAGUAUGGGUAGCAAACAGGAUUAGAUACCCUGGUAGUCCAUACCGUAAACGAUGAAUGCUAAGUGUUGGAGGGUUUCCGCCCUUCAGUGCUGCAGCUAACGCAUUAAGCAUUCCGCCUGGGGAGUACGGCCGCAAGGCUGAAACUCAAAGGAAUUGACGGGGGCCCGCACAAGCGGUGGAGCAUGGGUUUAAUUCGAAGCUACGCGAAGAACCUUACCAGGUCUUGACAUACUAUGCAAAUCUAAGAGAUUAGACGUUCCCUUCGGGGACAUGGAUACAGGUGGUGCAUGGUUGUCGUCAGCUCGUGUCGUGAGAUGUUGGGUUAAGUCCCGCAACGAGCGCAACCCUUAUUAUCAGUUGCCAGCAUUAAGUUGGGCACUCUGGUGAGACUGCCGGUGACAAACCGGAGGAAGGUGGGGAUGACGUCAAAUCAUCAUGCCCCUUAUGACCUGGGCUACACACGUGCUACAAUGGAUGGUACAACGAGUUGCGAACUCGCGAGAGUAAGCUAAUCUCUUAAAGCCAUUCUCAGUUCGGAUUGUAGGCUGCAACUCGCCUACAUGAAGUCGGAAUCGCUAGUAAUCGCGGAUCAGCAUGCCGCGGUGAAUACGUUCCCGGGCCUUGUACACACCGCCCGUCACACCAUGAGAGUUUGUAACACCCAAAGUCGGU